rnacentral:lncRNA from 1 species
UCUUCCACAGCCUGAAGUAGAAUGAAGCAUACAUUAAACUAGAAGUACAUUUCCAGGUCAACAAUCCUAGCAAACAUGAAUAAAGAAGGUUUGAAUUAAGUCACCUCCUUUUUGCACAAUCUGCAUCGACUUCUUGAUUCCAUUUCACUGCUCCAAACCUUUGAAAAGUUGAUACUAUGUUUGGCAAAUCUCCUAUCAUCAGAAACAGAAGUUGAUAAAGAAAGCUCUCUUGAUUUGAUAAUGGAUUUGCUCCGGUUAUGAGAGUCUUUCCAAUCGGCUUCACUCCAAGCAAAACACACAUCUCUCUGGCUUGAAGGAAC